GAAGGGCACGACAGGGAGUUAAUCUGAGAAAUACCGGCGAACUUGAUCUGGAUAAUACCAGCGAAAGGACUUGCUUCUUUGGCUUC
rnacentral:ncRNA from 22 species